UGCUCAUGCUGUUGAUCACUGGAUUGUCUGGUCCAGACUCGAUUAUUUACAGAUCACCGCCCUAUAGCUGGAAUAUUGCUGAGUGCGGCUUAAAGCUAAACUUACUCACUCACUCAUUGCUACAUAAAGAACUACCCUUGACAAGGUUGAUCUAUUAAAGCAAGGACCCGAGGACCUGACCAGUGAGGUGGUCAGACUGGAUUGUGGAAUUGGUCACGUCCAACGGUCCAUGUUUUCCAUAUUGACCUCCCCAAGAGUAAUCAUUUAUUUGGUCAUAUCAAAAUUCACCGACAAUUCCAUGAAGCUUUAUCAACAGUCCUGUUUCAUUACAAUAACCCAUCUGGGAACCAAGAAAUGUUAUCAGCUGCACCCCUGGUAUUCUUGAAUUGGUGAAUUGGCAUACAACUUUGUGGAUGAAAACUUCUUGUUUAUUGCAUGGAGCAACGUUUCCAUGUAGAUUCUUCCAUCACAGUUAGCUUGAUAACAAUGAAAUAAUCUACAUGGGAACAUCGCUUUAUGCAAUAAACAAGAAGUUGUCAUCAAUAAAGCUGUAUGCUUCAUUUUUGAAUCAGUAUGCAUCAUAUGACAGGUCAAAUUUCAAGCCCAGUGUCCAGCACAAUGUGGGGUCAAGCGACAUAGUGUAGCUAUGAGCAUGCUUACGAGCGUAGAUUUGUGCGCACUAUAAUUAUUCUACACAAAACACCUGUCCCAAAACAGACUUUCAGUUAUUUAGUCCAUGCACAUACAAUGCAUGACAGUUAUGAGUUAGUUUGGGUAGAAAAUAGUUCAUUGCAGAUGCUCUCUUGAGUGUUGAAAAUACAAAGUUUUAGCUUUAUCUUCGUGACCGCACAGAUGACGCUGAGCAUAUUUGAAAAGCAUGCAGAUAUGAAACUGGGAAAGGAAAGCUAAGAUUUGCCUUAAUAAUAUAGUUCAGUUGUUGAUCUGCCUUUUGAGUUUUCUUUAUACCAUUAGGCAUGGCCGCAUGGGUCUCCCUCAGAGUAGUCUGAGCUUCCAUGAUUCGCUUUGAGCAUUCCAGAGGGGCAGCGAGGUAGCCUAGUGGUUAAAGCGUAGGCUCGUCACGCCGAAGACCCGGGUUCGAUUCCCCACAUGGAUACAAUGUGUGAAGCCCAUUUCUGGUGUUCCCGGUCGUGAUAUUGCUGGAAUAUUGCUGAAAGCGGCGUAAAACCAUACCCACUCACUCACUCAGCAUUCCCGAAACGUUUCCUCGCUGGUUUGAUUCCGAGUUCGCCGCCAUUUUGUUUCAAGGUUUGUCACUCAUGCAUUCAUACCUGAGGGGCAUAUUCUGCUGUAAGUCGUUUGUCAUUUGGCCAACAAAUACAAAGUUAAUCAGUUGUUUGACUACAUUGUUUCAGUGAACAUAUUCUGGACUGAUACAAUUUAUACAUUAUGGUCUUUCCAAGCAUAUGUUGUAAGCAUGUUCUUCUGACACAUUAAACGAUCAUUUCACUCA